CUGUACAGUUAGGGUUAGGGUUAGUGAUACAGUGAUCUGGACCUACCUCAGUCUGUACAUUAGGGAUUGAUACAGUGAUCUGGACCUACCUCAGUCUGUACAUUAGGGUUAGUGAUACAGUGAUCUGGACCUACCUCAGUCUGUACAUUAGGGUUAGUGAUACAGUGAUCUGGACCUACCUCAGUCUGUACAUUAGGGUUAGUGAUACAUGAUCUUGAUGACCUACCUCAGUCUGUACAUUAGGGUUAGUGAUGCAGUGAUCUGGACCUAACCUCAGUUGUACAUUAGGGUUAGUGAUACAGUGAUCGGGACAUCCGUCUGUACAUAGGGUAUAUACAGUGAUCUGAUACGAGUCUGUACCAGUCCCGGAUCCGAUACAGCUAACUAAAGUAUCACACAGAUUACAUCUGUUAAAAUGGCAAUAUCUAACCCUUUUGAGUAACCCACUAAUCCACAUAGAAUUAUGUUAUAGAUCUGUCAAACGUGCUGUAAAGCCAAUCUAAGUAGCUGUCUGUCUGUCUGUCUGUCUGUCUGUCUGUGUCUGUCUGUCUGUCCGUCUGUCUGUCUGUCUUCUGUCUGUCUGUCUGUCUGUCUGUCUGUCUGUCUGUCGGUCGUGUCUGUCUGUCGGUCUGUCUGUCUGUCUGUCCUGCUCUGUCUGUCUGUGCCUGCUGUCUGUCCUUCACACGUGAGAUAGACAGGGUCUGUAACGACCUUCUGACCUGUAUCUCGUGUCUGUCCGGUCCUGGCUUCAUGCUGAGUAGACAGGGUCUGGAACGACCUUUUGACCUGUAUCUCUGUCUAUCUGUCUUCACUGCUGAGUAGACAGGGUCUGGAACGACCUUCUGACCUGUAUCUCUGUCUGUCUUCACUGCUGAGUAGACCGGGUCUGGAACGACUUUCUCUGAAAGAAACACGUCAACAGUUUACAACUAGUGACAUGUUAAAACACUAAAAACAUAUUAGUUACUCCAGAAAGAUGAGGGGAGUAUUGUUGGUCUCUCCCUUCUUCCUACCUCUCCUCCUGUUGUGUUGUCUCUUCUCUGUGUGGUUGAUGUCAGCAUAGGUCACAUCACCUGGACCAGAUCCACCUGGAACUAAACACAGGAGAGAGAGAGAGGAUAUUAACACAGACUGGACCAUAUCCACCUGGAACUAAACACAGGAGAGAGAGAGAGGAUAUUAACACAGACUGGACCACAGGUGGAAUUUGUCCAGGCUCUGUUUAAGCUAUC
rnacentral:lncRNA from 1 species